rnacentral:rRNA from 1 species
AGGCCUAACAUAUGCAAGUCGAACGGUGGCAGCAAUGUCAUAGUGGCGCACGGGUGCGUAACACGUAGCUAACCUACCCAGAACUGGGGGAUAGCCCGCCGAAAGGCGGAUUAACACCGCAUAACAUCUACUGGUGGCAUCACUAGUUGAUUAAAUCUACGGAGGUUCUGGAUGGGGCUGCGGGUCGUUAGCUAGUUGGUAAGGUAACGGCUUACCAAGGCGACGAUGACUAGGGGAGCUGAGAGGCUGGUCCCCCACACGGGCACUGAGAUACGGGCCCGACUCCUACGGGAGGCAGCAGUAGGGAAUAUUGGGCAAUGGGCGAGAGCCUGACCCAGCCAUGCCGCGUGCAGGAAGAAGGCUUUCUGAGUCGUAAACUGCUUUUGAUAGGGAAGAAUAAGCACUACGUGUAGUGUGAUGACGGUACCUACAGAAUAAGCACCGGCUAACUCCGUGCCAGCAGCCGCGGUAAU